GACGCCGUGCUUAACAUAGUUUAUACGCUAUCUAAAUCUCGACUUUUCGUUACCUGGCUCGUCAACAAUUGAAACAUAUUUAAUUAUUGUACAAUAAUUAUUUACUAUUAUUAAUUAUAAUAAUACAUUUUAAUAAUAGGUAGGUAUAUUAUUUUCUUUACUAUUCGUUAAUAAUAGUUGGACGGUGUAUAUUGAUAGAGGGGCAUUUGUGGAUGCAUUAUCUGGAGGCAUACUUCACCAUCUGUCAGACAAUAAGACAAAGUGGCUUGUCACUCUCAUCUAUUAUUUCAUCAGCUGAAAUAGUCUUCAUUUAAUCAGCAGAUGACUUAUGUGAUUUUGAACAUUCAACCAAUGGUGAAAAACUAGAAAUGAUACAUUUUUUGAAAAAUUUUUGUAUAAAAGAUGCUCAAUCAAGUGCAAACGAAAUGCUGAUAAACUCUUUCGGUCCUGAAGAGUGGAUUACACCAUUUGUGACAACAGAAGGGAAAGGUUCUAUGCACCCACGUAAUCUGCCAGCAAUGAUAAAAACUAAAUUUGCUGAUUGUGUAUUUGCUGCAUUAUCAUUGAAAACUAAUCGAUUUAAAAAACCUUUAACUAAAGACUUCAAACAUAUUUUUGAAGCAUCGUUAAAAGUAAUGAAAAAUCGUCGUAAAAGAUUAGAAAGUUCAGGUAAAAUUCAAAUCAUUGAUAAAGACCAAGAAGUAAUUCCAAGACCAUGUUUUAAUCUUGAAAACCAACAAUAAUAAUAUGAAAUUUCAUAAUCAAUGGUAUUUUUUUUUUUUUUUUUUUUCAAUGAAUAAUGUGAGACAAAAAAAAUCAAAACUGUACCAAUAUAAUAAUUAGUAUUUAAUAUUGUUGAUUAGAUUAUUAAUUUUGUAAGGUCAUAAAAUAAUUAAUACAGUUAUUUGAUAAUUGUUAUGCUAUUCAAAUAACUAUAUUAUUACAAUAUUUUCAAGUAUAAACAUGGUAAUUUAUAUUAUUGUGAUAUGUAAAAAAAGAAAGAAAUCCUUAUAUUGUAUCAUAAAAAAAAAAAAAGUAUUCAAUAAGGAUCUACAAUAAUAAUGUUAAAUAUACAUUAGACCAAAAAAAAAAAAAAAAAAAACAAAGAA